ACCUUCGUGGUGUAGUGGUCAGCACGCUCGGCGCCCAUUCGAGAGGUCCGUGGUUCGAGUCCUGGUAAGGGCA
rfam:Stegodyphus mimosarum contig17172, whole genome shotgun sequence.